rnacentral:lncRNA from 1 species
CCCCCACCCCCCGAGGACAUGACCUUACACUAUCAUCCCCCGCCGCGGCUACUAUCCCUCCAACCGACUAUGGAGAGUAGUGACGCACACACGCACCAUUACGUAAUACGCAAACAGAUGCAAACUAGAUAGCAACAGAGUAAACCCCAUACGGAAUGCUAGCUAGAAUACGUAAAAAGGUGUAGUGUACAGAGUAAACAAGAGAGCGGGAGGUACCAACUCCCGGUGGAAAAACCUGAAAGUAGGCCUAGAGUACGUAAAAAGGUGUACAGAGUAAACAAAAGAGCAGGAGGUACCAACUCCCGGUGGAAAAAUCUGAAAGUAGGCUUUGAUGCGCCCGAGGUCAACUGCUACCAACUCUUGCACGUCCCGACCGGUGUUGCUUAGCUCUUCACUCCCAAACGCCGCAAACUGGCCUCGCCGCCGCGACUAGUACAUGGGACAAGUUUUCCUGAAGCUUAUCGGAGCAGGUAGUUCCUCUGCGUCCUGCCGAAAACCUGAACGGGAGUCGCCGGAAGUAUUGUAGCUUGCUGGAAAUCCUCGCCGGAAAAUAAUGCAUCUGUCCAAGAAAACAGAACACACGCACACACACCCUGCUUUUGAGAGAAUAGGAAAAACAGAAAGAGAACCCACAAAAAGGUACAAAAAGACAAGUUCUUUACUGGAAAAGCAACAGAAAAUGAAACAUACAAGCCAAUCGAUCACAUAUGUCUCAAUUCUAAAACUUGUUGGGGUUAACUAUUACUCAAAAAAGCAAAACAAAGUUGAACUCAAACCAAACAUUCAAAUAUGACCGGAUCCCAAAUUACCUAAACACAAACCAAAAGUUGAAAAAGAUAAAAACUGUACUAAAACUGAAGUCAGAAAAGGAACAAGAAAGUACAAGUGUGGAAUGUUAAGAUAAUAAAAAGAGAUCUGAAAUCUUAUACGCACGAACGGAUUAUCAAAGUGUCGGUCAAGAGAUUAGUACUUCAUAAAUUCUCCUACUUGUAGCAAGAAAUUAGUCAAUGUUGCAAAUGAGCAACAGAUACAUGUAAAAAAUUGCAAGAUUUUCAGCUAAAAGAAAAGAAGCUUUCAAAUUUAGUGAGAUAGGAACAAAAUAAUGAAUGUCCAAACAACAAGGUCCUACCAAAUAUCACUUUCAUACAUAUAACAUAAAAACAAACCCAACAAGAAACUGCAACAACUAAACAAAAU